ACAAACAAGAAAUGGUGGAAAUUACACUUUUAAACUCAAUUAAAACGCCAGUAGGUGCCAGUAGUGAGCGUUUUAUGAGUGAGUCACUGAGUUGUUCAUUCAAGCGAUUCGUUUGAACGGCUGAUUCAUCAGAUAUUUAUGCAUGGGCUAAUGAAACUUACUCAACCGAUUCGUUCUGAGCACGGAAUCAUUCAGCAAUGAAUCGGCUGUUUGCUGUGAGAUGCGCUAUGGUUCCGCCUCAAAAUUUUCAUUUUUAUUUUUUACUUCAACUUAUUGUCUGGCGUUAAUGUCGAGCCCAGGAGUUAAUAUGCCCUGGCUCAAACCCCGGACGGCCCUGGACCAAUUUAAACCCUGUAUAUACAUCAAUUAACUUAUCUCAAAAUAAUGAAUAGUAAGGAAGGAAAAGUAUGUAUCCUUAUGAUUUGACUCCUUUUAAAGUUAAUGAUCACCUUUUUUCCCCCCCUUUAACUUAUUAGAGAGUUACUGGAGCAAGUAGCUGAGUUUGAAAAGACUGACUUCAAAGCCAACAGCAAGGUAAAUCAGGAGUCUAGUAAGCCAAAAUUAGCACCAUUGAAUGAAGGAGGUGUGUCUGAACUUCUCCAGAAGGAGAUUUCCAGACUACAAGAGGACAAUGACAAAUUGAAAGCUAGACUCAGAACUUUGGAAUCUCAGGCCAUGAGCACUCUGGAUGAGAAGUCCAAAGCAGAGAGAGCCUUGAAAGACCUUCAGAAGAGCCAAGGAGAUCAACAGGUAUAAAACCCCAGGCAUACUUAUCUUUCUAUGUAAUGCU